rnacentral:rRNA from 1 species
UUCCGGUUGAUCCUGCCGGACCUGACUGCUAUCGGGAUUGAUACUAAGCCAUGCGAGUCAUGUAGCAAAUACAAGGCAGACGGCUCAGUAACGCGUAGUCAACUACCCUAUGGACGGGGAUAACCUCGGGAAACUGAGAAUAAUACCCGAUAGAACAUUAUACCUGGAAUGGUUUAUGUUUCAAAUAACUUAUUGCCGUAGGAUGGGACUGCGGCCUAUCAGUUUGUUGGUGAGGUAAUGGCCCACCAAGACUAUUACAGGUACGGGCUCUGAGAGGAGUAGCCCGGAGAUGGGUACUGAGACACGGACCCAGGCCCUAUGGGGCGCAGCAGGCGAGAAAACUUUGCAAUGUGCGAAAGCACGACAAGGUUAAUCCGAGUGGUUUCUGCUAAAGGAACCUUUUGUUAGUCAUAGAACCACUAAUGAAUAAGGGGUGGGCAAGUUCUGGUGUCAGCCGCCGCGGUAAAACCAGCACCUCAAGUGGUCAGGAUGAUUAUUGGGCCUAAAGCAUCCGUAGCCUGCUUUGUUAGUUUUCGGUUAAAUCCAUACGCUCAACGUAUGGGCUGCCGGGAAUACUGCAAAGCUAGGGAGUGGGAGAGGUAGACGGUACUCGGUAGGAAGGGGUAAAAUCCUUUGAUCUAUUGAUGACCACCUGUGGCGAAGGCGGUCUACCAGAACACGUCCGACGGUGGGGGAUGAAAGCUGGGGGAGCAAACCGGAUUAGAUACCCGGGUAGUCCCAGCUGUAAACUAUACAAACUCGGUGAUGCAUUGGCUUGAUGCCAAUGCAGUGCCGCAGGGAAGCCGUUAAGUUUGCCGCCUGGGAAGUACGUACGCAAGUAUGAAACUUAAAGGAAUUGGCGGGGGAGCACCACAAGGGGUGAAGCCUGCGGUUCAAUUGGAGUCAACGCCGGAA